UCUUAUAUUUUUCUGGGAUAAAAAUAAGUAAGUACCAAGGUAUUAGCUUAUAAUACUGACUGAAAUUACUUAUUAUAAAAUCGAAUUUAGAAUCACUCGUUUCAAUAUUAUUCAGAUAAAAUAAAAAUUUAUAAUGAUUGUAUUUAAUCUAAUUUACAAAUUAAAAAUAGAUUUACGCUUCAUACUAAUUGGCAUUCUACAUAAGUAUAAAUUAAUUUGUAAUAAAUCAUUUUUAUAGAUGCAAGAUAUGUUAACUACUAUUAUCUUAAGCAAUUUAAGAAUUUCAACAGUUUUUAUACCGCACUAUCAAAACAUCUUUUUUGGUCAAAAGAACGCCAAGAAAUUUUAAAAAAAUUCUAUAAUUUUGUCAUAAGGGAAGAAUGUGAUAAGGAUGAUCCUCCAAAGUCUCCAAAACAAUAUUGUUAUGAUAACUAUCCAAAUAGUAAAAAUACAGGAUGUUUUUUAGGUAUCAUUACAAUAUUUUAAAUAUAAAUGUAUUUUUAAUAUCAACUAUACCUUUUCACAAAUUUUAGUAUUUAAUUUAUGUCAAAAUACAUUUUUAACAAAUUAUGGAUUUUACGUUUUUUGAAAUUAUACAACUCUACGAUUAUACUAAAAAUUCUGGUCCACUCUAUCUCUUAUUAUGACUGUCAAAGCCUAACAAACAUAUAUAUAUUUGAUUUCAGCCAUCUCAUAUUCAUCAUCACCAUACCACCACGAAUUCCACGAUGGUCCCCCUUUUCUUCAUCACUUAUAUCAUAAAAUAUUGUUUACCCUAUCUCAAAUAAAUUUCAUCUCAGUUGAUAACCGAUUUCGUUUGGUUUGAUCAGACCUAAUCAAUUAAAUUGGUUUUUGUCAGUCAUUGUAACAGAGCAUAAUAUCAGAGUCCUCUACAUAAUAUCAAAAAUCCGUCAAAACCAUGACAUGCACAACAACGAUAAUAGGAUCAACACAUUUGGAAACUUAUGCGGUUGAUAAGGUUUUCAAUUAGCAAACACCAGUGUAAUAAUCCAUUCAUACUGUGUGGAAUAAACAGGCCCAUUUGGCAUAAAUAUCAGUGCAUAUUUCUCAAUCAAGUCACAACUCUGCUUCACCGCCUCACGCACACUAUAUAUACUAUAAUAUACACUAUAAUAUAUAAAAACAUUUAAAAACAACUUAUACCCAAAAGUGUUUUAUUCCGAGCAUUUU